GUUUAGGAACACCGGGCCGAGGCCGAGCCCUGUGUUUGUUUCAGGCUUUGAACAAAACUUCAUAACCAAAUUGAAAAUCAAUUUAUUUUUCAUUUUUUUAUAUUUGUUCAAAUAAACCCGAGAAAAUAAAAAAUAUAUUUGUUUGCUUGAGAAAAAUUUUACUUGAUUAAUCGAUAAAUUGUUAGAACAAAAUUGGUCAUGCACAAUUGCACAUGUCUGCCCAAAACUUCAGUGGCUCACCUCACUGUAAGCCUUUUCUUAGUAGUCUGCGUCCAAACUUCCAAACCAAAACAAAAUAAAAACAAAAUACAACACCAACACCAAAACCAAAUUAAACUAAAAAAUGAAACAUAGAUCUCGAUCGAAAUGACCAAAAUUACUGCUUAGUUGAGUUGGCAAUUGGCACUUGCUGCCAUUGACGGAAGCAACUGGAGAAUUUUACCACGGUUUAAAAUCGAUGCUCAAAGGAGCUUUGCCCUGUAAGAUGCAUAGAAGUUUAGAUUUCACCGGAUACUCAGCAAGGUAAUAAAAUGACACAAUUACAAACCUGGGUAUUCCUUGGCAACUACAGCAAUCAGCUGCUUAGGUUUGUAGGAUCACUCAAUUGAUUAGGAAAAGAUGUGAUCAGCAUGUGAAAAUAAGAUCACCAUUUAUAUCCUAGGAAAGUCUCUUCCAGUAUGUUGCUUAUGCAAUAAAAAGGCAUCAUACACCAGAUAUUGUUUUGUUAGUUGGACAAAGUUAAUGAUUAUUGUCAGUAUGUGGAAAAGUAUGAACCUGCAAUAUCUCCACAACCCUGUCGCUUAUUAUUUGUCGGAAAUUCGGUUGAAACCGAGAAGACAAGUGUACCGUCGUUGGCUAAGUUGUUAAGAAAGUCCCAUCCAAUGUCCUGUCUGGUUAGCGUUUUGGCAAGUAAUUAACGUACCUGUAAACAGGUCAAUCUUCCUAGGUAGUCGUAGUCAUGUUGGUUCAUAUUGUGUUAACUUCUUGCAUUCCAAGCACUGCGCGAAAUAUACUGUGCUGGGUAUGA